GACAGAGGAGCCAAGCGUUGUCCGGAUUGACUGGGCGUAAAGCGCACGCAGGCGGUUGCGCGCGUGGGGUGUGAAAUCUGGCCGCUUAACGGCCAGGCGCCAUCCCAUACGGCGCGUCUGGAGUGAUGCAGAGGUCGAUGGAAUUGCCGGUGUAGUGGUGAAAUGCGUAGAGAUCGGCAGGAACACCCAGGGGGAAACCAGUCGACUGGGCAUCUACUGACGCUGAGGUGCGAGAGCGUGGGGAGCGAACCGG
rnacentral:rRNA from 1 species